UGACAUAACACGUCAACAUUUUAUAGUUUUAUCACCACGAUAUCGAGAAAAAGUUGUCAACUGUUGCAAAAUCAAAGCAGUGACUUGUUAGGCUCUGUUCGGACUACACUCGAAGCUACACAGCGAGGAAAGAAAGCAAAUGUUGCAGUUUCUUUCCUUCUUUCUUUCUCUGCCCAGUCGCGAUUCCGUGGCUAGUUUUGACUUUCACAACUAAAAGAAACACAGGAGGAAAGGAAGGAGGAAAACAGGUGACCAGCCUUGGUCGAACUUCGAAUUCCACGCGUGAAAGGACGACUGUUAUUGGUCGCGAGAGGAGGCACGACUCUGCGAUCGAUUUGCGAUCUACACUCCAACUAAGCAUAAACAGUGCAUUUUAUACUUAUCCCUAUCGACCUCGUAUCCCCCCCCCCCUUCACCUUAACUUUAUUUUAUUAUCUUUGAUUCUGUAGCGAACUGGGUUGACCAGAUAAUGCCACGCGUUGUAAACGAAAAAAAAUUACUAUGCUUCUGAUUAUUAAUACUCUUGUCGUAUACGAUGACUUUUCAUCGAGGAUCAAUUUAUGCAGCGAUCGGCGAAAGUAUUUAAAUAUUUUCAAUGGAAAACUAUUAUGCAUAUAUUGCGUUGAGAAUCGAGAGUAUAAUUGUUAAGCUCAAGUUUUAUCAAUUUAUUGCGAAAGGUAAACUUUCUUCGCAACUUUCCUGCCAUGGGCUGUUAAUAGACUCGUACGACAAUGCGAGUAUAUUUAAUGAGAGUUGCUAUUUUUACAGCAAACCGUUUUUCAGGUGUUCUGCGCGUCUGUCCCGGAUAAGUAUCGGAGCAACAGAAAAUCGCCUCGCUUCUCUUACGAUUUAGAACAAUGUAAUUUGACCUGAACAGACUGCAAUGAAAUCAAUGAAGGAUAAGGGCGACUAUUAUUGGUCAAAGAUAAAAAUAGAACUAUCGAAACUGAUUUUUAAAUGUUUUAUAAGUCUAAUGACAAUUUAAUGUUCUCGUCGAGAUCGGUGCUUGAAGAGAAAGAGAAGAAAAGAAGGGAGAAGAACAGAAGAUAAGGAAAUGGAUUUACCGAGAUAUAUGGGUCUCGAUAAAACUAUCGUUUGUUUCUUUAUCGCGUGUUACUUUUCCUACGACGCAGUCUGGUCGAAAGAGGAUACCAAUCAUGUAAAAAUUUUAAUCUCGCAAACGACCGAAUACUUCGGGCGUGCUGAAAACGCUCCAAGAUAGGAUUUAAUAUACUCAUCGUUGAUUGAUAACUGACGAAGUUUGCAAUUAUCAACACGCGAUACUAUCUGCAUUGCAUCCACUGUUAAUCGUACGUUGACCUUAUCCAAAAGAAAAAUAAAUCCUACAGAUUUGAUCACCAA